AGAGUUUGAUCCUGGCUCAGGACGAACGCUGGCGGCGUGCCUAAUACAUGCAAGUCGAACGAGAAAAUCUUACACCGGAUGCUUGCAUCCACCGUAAGAAUUUCGAGUGGCGGACGGGUGAGUAACACGUGGGUAACCUGCCCAAAAGAAGGGGAUAACAUUUGGAAACAAGUGCUAAUACCGUAUAACCAUGACAAGCGCAUGCUUGUGAUGUGAAAGAUGGUUCUGCUAUCGCUUUUGGAUGGACCCGCGGCGUAUUAACUAGUUGGUGAGGUAAAGGCUCACCAAGGUGAUGAUACGUAGCCGAACUGAGAGGUUGAUCGGCCACAAUGGGACUGAGACACGGCCCAUACUCCUACGGGAGGCAGCAGUAGGGAAUCUUCCACAAUGGGCGCAAGCCUGAUGGAGCAACGCCGCGUGAAUGAAGAAGGUCUUCGGAUCGUAAAGUUCUGUUGUUAGAGAAGAACACGUGUGAGAGUAACUGUUCAUGCGUUGACGGUAUCUAACCAGCAAGUCACGGCUAACUACGUGCCAGCAGCCGCGGUAAUACGUAGGUGGCAAGCGUUGUCCGGAUUUAUUGGGCGUAAAGGGAACGCAGGCGGUCUUUUAAGUCUGAUGUGAAAGCCUUCGGCUUAACCGGAGAUGUGCAUUGGAAACUGGAAGACUUGAGUGCAGAAGAGGAGAGUGGAACUCCAUGUGUAGCGGUGAAAUGCGUAGAUAUAUGGAAGAACACCAGUGGCGAAAGCGGCUCUCUGGUCUGUAACUGACGCUGAGGUUCGAAAGCGUGGGUAGCGAACAGGAUUAGAUACCCUGGUAGUC
rnacentral:rRNA from 1 species